GGGGGGGAGGGGGGUUGCUCAGCUGUUGCCACCCACACCCAUCCUUACCACCCACCACCUCCUCAUUCAGCGGUUUUUGAACAAAGAUCCACCCAGACCCGGAAUCCUGUUGUUGAUUCGCGGCCUUGAAGGACAAGCGGGUGUUUUCAACCGUAGGGGAUGCGGAUCCGCAGCCUGCGUCUAGUCCGGCUGGCUUUAUGCGCGUCCCAGAAACACUCUGGAUGCCCAACGGUCUCCUCUUUGUGCUCGGUUUUCCCCGUACAUCAUCCCAUCAUCAUUUUGGCACUUCGGAGAACAACAGCGCCUCCUGUGGCCGUGCUGAAAACCACAAACCCGACACCCAAAGGGAGCCCAAAAGAAAAUCCUGCCUCCAGAUCACCUUUACUUCUUUAAAUAAAUUUGUGGUAAACUCUGUCUGAAUAAAGAAUAGCAAUAUGGCUCGCUUUCAAA